rnacentral:snRNA from 1 species
GUGCUCGCUUCGGCAGCACAUAUACUAAAAUUGGAAUGAUACAGAGAAGAUUAGCAUGGCCCCUGCACAAGGAUGACAUGCAAAUUCAUGAAGCAUUCCAUAUUUUU